UUUGUCUAUAUCCUAGAUUCGCAGCUGGACACAUCCUUCUAACUAACACUGUAUGCAAACAUGCAACAUCAUUACACAGUACAAGGAGUCAGACUGGCAUAUGAGGAGCAAAGGAACCCAGGCAGUAGCAUCUUUUCACAAUGUUUCCAUCACCAUCAUCAGUGGAUGCCUUUGCCGUCCGUACCCUGAGAUUUCUGAUUUGCAGCAAAAAAUUUGACUUUCCCAUUUAUUGGAAUGCUGUGCAGGUUGUACCUUGCAGCCAUCCAUUACAAUGUCACCAAGCCGUAACAAAAGCAAGAGAGGGAAAGUACAAGGCUAUGUUCCCAAAACACACAAGUGACAUACCUUAUGUGGAUGAUGUGAUCAGGCUUGUGUUUGCUGAGGUAUUUGAAGAUAAGCUGAAGGAAACCCCGAUUCCAAUGGACCUGGCAUCACAGUUUGAGAGACCUUCAAAGGAGGACGUGAUUGCAUGCCAUCUUCAGU